UUCAUCGUCAAUAUGUUUAAUAUAUAUAUAUAUUAUGAUGUAAAUUUUUAUUAAUUUAAUUAUUAAUUUAAAAUUUAUACAUAUAUAUAUUAUUUUAUUGUUUUACAUUGUCGGCGUGCACUUCUCCUCUAGUAGAACAUUGUAACCCGUUAGAUAUUAAUUUACGGCCUUAUUGGGUAGCCUUUGAUCGUUAAAACAUUAAAGACCAAUUUGUGUUUCCUAAUUAAUUGUCUGACGGUAUUCAUAUGAUAUUAAGUCGCAUAUAUUAUUUGCGUUUUCAUCCGUCGCAAGCGAGGCUAUUUAAUUAAUUGUUACGGACCUAGUGCCGUCUAUUAAUAAUAGCCAGCUGUUGGCUGUUACGGUAUUCUGAAACUGACUUUAUAUAUCGGUUAACAAUGCUACUGCUUUGGGUACUUUCAGGACCCGUCUUGAAACACGGACCAAGGAGUCUAACAUGUGCG
rnacentral:rRNA from 1 species